rnacentral:rRNA from 1 species
UGAAGACUAACUACUGCGAAAGCAUUUGCCAAGGAUGUUUUCAUUAAUCAGGAACGAAAGUUAGGGGAUCGAAGACGAUCAGAUACCGUCGUAGUCUUAACCAUAAACUAUGCCGACUAGGGAUCGGACGAUGUUACAUUUUUGACGCGUUCGGCACCUUACGAGAAAUCAAAGUGCUUGGGCUCCAGGGGAGUAUGGUCGCAAGGCUGAAACUUAAGAAUUGACGGAAGGGCACCACCAGGGGUGGAGCCUGCGGCUUAAUUUGACUCAACACGGGGAAACUCACCAGGUCCAGACACAAUAAGGUUG